GAUGAACGCUGGCGGCGUGCCUAAUACAUGCAAGUCGAGCGAACAGACGAGGAGCUUGCUCCUCUGACGUUAGCGGCGGACGGGUGAGUAACACGUGGAUAACCUACCUAUAAGACUGGGAUAACUUCGGGAAACCGGAGCUAAUACCGGAUAAUAUAUUGAACCGCAUGGUUCAAUAGUGAAAGACGGUUUUGCUGUCACUUAUAGAUGGAUCCGCGCCGCAUUAGCUAGUUGGUAAGGUAACGGCUUACCAAGGCAACGAUGCGUAGCCGACCUGAGAGGGUGAUCGGCCAAACUGGAACUGAGACACGGCCCAACCUCCUACGGGAGGCAGCAGUAGGGAAUCUUCCGCAAGGGGCGAAAGCCUGACGGAGCAACGCCGCGUGAGUGAGGAAGGUCUUCGGAUCGUAAAACUCUUUUAUUAGGGAAGAACAAAUGUGUAAGUAACUAUGCACGUCUGGACGUGACCUAAUCAGAAAGCCACGGCUAACUACGU
rnacentral:rRNA from 1 species